GGUUAUGCUUUGGGUAGCAAACUGUCAGGGCCGGCCCUGAUGGGAAUCAUUUAAGAGAAGAUUCGUGGUCUCUAAGUCGCGAUCAUGGGGAUCAUUUAAGAGAAGAAUUUCUUCAUCUUCUCGUUUUCUCUCUUCUCUUCUUCAGAAACUAACCCAGAACCCUCGAAAAGUUUUUGAAGAUGAUCAACACAGUGAUGAUGGACAAUCGAAAACAUGGAAAAGCUAUAGAUUUGAAGAUUAAAAGUGAGGGGAGAAAGGUCUUUGUACAUCUGGUAAAAUUCACAACAAUGACAUUUUAUAGAGAUUAUGAUAUACCUAACUGCGGCAGUUACAUUAUCGUUAAGGAUGAAUUGGUUUGGUCACCGUCUUCAGAUGUCUGGUCUCAAGUCACUGCAUAUACAUUACCUGGAAGACAUCCUCCAUCCUGUUGUCUGUCAAAUGAUUCUCCUACUCACAGGAAUUGGUGAGUGUUGAUGGAUGAAUUGUCUCGCUGCAGAUACUCAACUCUUCACUCAAAGAAGGAAAACUAUGAGAUAUAUGCAUACUAGAGGAUCGAGUUGAUUUCAACGGGCAAGACUUUUUGAUUAAAGAAGAUGUAUGAUUUCUUGAGAAUGACAAAUUAUAAAGUGACAAAUUAGGAUCCUUUUUGCAGUGUCGUGCUAUAAGUUUAGACUGUUCAUGUGCAUUUUAUGUUCGCCAAACUGUAAUUGGUUGUGUAAAUUUCUUGUAUUUUGAAUGUGCUAAUUGUCUGAUGUAUAUUUUCUCAAAGUCAUCAGACAAUAUAAAGGUAUUAUUUUGAGCUAGCUAUUUAAUGUAUAAUCGAAUAUGCUUAAUGUUCAAAUAAAUUUAUACAGA